rnacentral:rRNA from 1 species
UACAGAGGGGGCAAGCGUUAUUCGGAAUUAUUGGGCGUAAAGGGCGCGUAGGCGGCCUGGCAAGUGGAUGGUGAAAUCCCUCGGCUUAACCGAGGAACUGCCAUCCAGACUGCUUGGCUUGAGACCGGGAGAGGUGAGUGGAAUUCCCAGUGUAGCGCUGAAAUGCGUAGAUAUUGGGAGGAACACCAGUGGCGAAGGCGGCUCACUGGACCGGUACUGACGCUGAUGCGCGAAAGCGUGGGGAGCAAACGGG